rnacentral:rRNA from 1 species
AACGAACGCUGGCGGCAUGCCUAACACAUGCAAGUCGAACGGGACCUUCGGGUCUAGUGGCGCACGGGUGCGUAACGCGUGGGAACCUGCCCUUAGGUUCGGAAUAACUCCCCGAAAGGGGUGCUAAUACCGGAUAAUGUCUUCGGACCAAAGAUUUAUCGCCUUUGGAUGGGCCCGCGUUGGAUUAGCUAGUUGGUAGGGUAAAAGCCUACCAAGGCGACGAUCCAUAGCUGGUCUGAGAGGAUGAUCAGCCACACUGGGACUGAGACACGGCCCAGACUCCUACGGGAGGUAGCAGUGGGGAAUAUUGGACAAUGGGCGAAAGCCUGAUCCAGCAAUGCCGCGUGAGUGAUGAAGGCCUUAGGGUUGUAAAGCUCUUUUACCCGGGAUGAUAAUGACAGUACCGGGAGAAUAAGCUCCGGCUAACUCCGUG